GAUGAACGCUGGCGGCGUGCCUAAUACAUGCAAGUCGAGCGAACGGACGAGAAGCUUGCUUCUCUGAUGUUAGCGGCGGACGGGUGAGUAACACGUGGAUAACCUACCUAUAAGACUGGGAUAACUUCGGGAAACCGGAGCUAAUACCGGAUAAUAUUUUGAACCGCAUGGUUCAAAAGUGAAAGACGGUCUUGCUGUCACUUAUAGAUGGAUCCGCGCUGCAUUAGCUAGUUGGUAAGGUAACGGCUUACCAAGGCAACGAUGCAUAGCCGACCUGAGAGGGUGAUCGGCCACACUGGAACUGAGACACGGUCCAGACUCCUACGGGAGGCAGCAGUAGGGAAUCUUCCGCAAUGGGCGAAAGCCUGACGGAGCAACGCCGCGUGAGUGAUGAAGGUCUUCGGAUCGUAAAACUCUGUUAUUAGGGAAGAACAUAUGUGUAAGUAACUGUGCACAUCUUGACGGUACCUAAUCAGAAAGCCACGGCUAACUACGUGCCAGCAGCCGCGGUAAUACGUAGGUGGCAAGCGUUAUCCGGAAUUAUUGGGCGUAAAGCGCGCGUAGGCGGUUUUUUAAGUCUGAUGUGAAAGCCCACGGCUCAACCGUGGAGGGUCAUUGGAAACUGGAAAACUUGAGUGCAGAAGAGGAAAGUGGAAUUCCAUGUGUAGCGGUGAAAUGCGCAGAGAUAUGGAGGAACACCAGUGGCGAAGGCGACUUUCUGGUCUGUAACUGACGCUGAUGUGCGAAAGCGUGGGGAUCAAACAGGAUUAGAUACCCUGGUAGUCCACGCCGUAAACGAUGAGUGCUAAGUGUUAGGGGGUUUCCGCCCCUUAGUGCUGCAGCUAACGCAUUAAGCACUCCGCCUGGGGAGUACGACCGCAAGGUUGAAACUCAAAGGAAUUGACGGGGACCCGCACAAGCGGUGGAGCAUGUGGUUUAAUUCGAAGCAACGCGAAGAACCUUACCAAAUCUUGACAUCCUUUGACAACUCUAGAGAUAGAGCCUUCCCCUUCGGGGGACAAAGUGACAGGUGGUGCAUGGUUGUCGUCAGCUCGUGUCGUGAGAUGUUGGGUUAAGUCCCGCAACGAGCGCAACCCUUAAGCUUAGUUGCCAUCAUUAAGUUGGGCACUCUAAGUUGACUGCCGGUGACAAACCGGAGGAAGGUGGGGAUGACGUCAAAUCAUCAUGCCCCUUAUGAUUUGGGCUACACACGUGCUACAAUGGACAAUACAAAGGGCAGCGAAACCGCGAGGUCAAGCAAAUCCCAUAAAGUUGUUCUCAGUUCGGAUUGUAGUCGGCAACUCGACUACAUGAAGCUGGAAUCGCUAGUAAUCGUAGAUCAGCAUGCUACGGUGAAUACGUUCCCGGGUCU
rnacentral:rRNA from 1 species